rnacentral:rRNA from 1 species
AGAGUUUGAUCAUGGCUCAGAUUGAACGCUGGCGGCAGGCUUAACACAUGCAAGUCGUGCGAGAAAGUAUCUUCGGAUAUGAGUAGAGCGGCGGACGGGUGAGUAACGCGUAGGAAUCUACCUAGUAGAAGGGGAUAGCCCGGGGAAACCCGGAUUAAUACCGUAUACCUCCUUCGGGAGAAAGAAGGCCUCUCUUUGAAGCUUUCGCUAUUAGAUGAGCCUGCGUAAGAUUAGCUUGUUGGUGAGGUAAAGGCUCACCAAGGCGACGAUCUUUAGCUGGUCUGAGAGGACGAUCAGCCACAUUGGGACUGAGACACGGCCCAGACUCCUACGGGAGGCAGCAGUGGGGAAUAUUGGACAAUGGGCGCAAGCCUGAUCCAGCCAUACCGCGUGUGUGAAGAAGGCCUUCGGGUUGUAAAGCACUUUAAGCAGGGAGAAAAAGUUAUAAGUUAAUACCUUAUAACCCUGAUGUUACCUGCAGAAUAAGCACCGGCUAAUUCCGUGCCAGCAGCCGCGGUAAUACGGAAGGUGCAAGCGUUAAUCGGAAUUACUGGGCGUAAAGCGCGCGUAGGUGGUUUGUUAAGUUGGAUGUGAAAGCCCUGGGCUCAACCUAGGAACUGCAUCCAAAACUAACUCACUAGAGUACGAUAGAGGGAGGUAGAAUUCAUAGUGUAGCGGUGGAAUGCGUAGAUAUUAUGAAGAAUACCAGUGGCGAAGGCGGCCUCCUGGAUCUGUACUGACACUGAGGUGCGAAAGCGUGGGUAGCGAACAGGAUUAGAUACCCUGGUAGUCCACGCCGUAAACGAUGACAACUAGCUGUUGGGAGACUAUGUCUUUCAGUGGCGCAGCUAACGCUUUAAGUUGUCCGCCUGGGGAGUACGGCCGCAAGGCUAAAACUCAAAUGAAUUGACGGGGACCCGCACAAGCGGUGGAGCAUGUGGUUUAAUUCGAUGCAACGCGAAAAACCUUACCUACUCUUGACAUACUUGGAGGCUCUUGUAAUGAGAGUGUGCCUUUUGGAACCAAGAUACAGGUGCUGCAUGGCUGUCGUCAGCUCGUGUCGUGAGAUGUUCCGUUAAGUCGGAUAACGAGCGCAACCCUUACCCUUAUUUGCCAGCGAUUCGGUCGGGAACUAUAAGGGGACUGCCGGUGAUAAACCGGAGGAAGGUGAGGACGACGUCAAGUCAUCAUGGCCCUUACGAGUAGGGCUACACACGUGCUACAAUGGGAGAUACAGACGGACGCUAAGCCGCGAGGUGGUGCUAAUCCUAAAAAGUCUUUCGUAGUCCGGAUUGGAGUCUGCAACUCGACUCCAUGAAGUCGGAAUCGCUAGUAAUCGCGGAUCAGCAUGCCGCGGUGAAUACGUUCUCGGGUCUUGUACACACCGCCCGUCACACCAUGGAAGUGGAUUGCACCAGAAGUAGAUAGUCUAACCUUAGGGAGGGCGUUUACCACGGUGUGAGCGUGGAGUCACAGUCAUGUCUAGGUCCUCCGGCGGAAGC